AAGCAGGGGACCUUCGGGCCUUGCGCUAAUAGAUGAGCCUAAGUCGGAUUAGCUAGUUGGUGGGGUAAAGGCCUACCAAGGCGACGAUCUGUAGCGGGUCUGAGAGGAUGAUCCGCCACACUGGGACUGAGACACGGCCCAGACUCCUACGGGAGGCAGCAGUGGGGAAUAUUGGACAAUGGGGGGAACCCUGAUCCAGCCAUGCCGCGUGUGUGAAGAAGGCCUUUUGGUUGUAAAGCACUUUAAGCGAGGAGGAGGCUACCGAGAUUAAUACUCUUGGAUAGUGGACGUUACUCGCAGAAUAAGCACCGGCUAACUCUGUGCCAGCAGCCGCGGUAAUACAGAGGGUGCAAGCGUUAAUCGGAUUUACUGGGCGUAAAGCGCGCGUAGGUGGCCAAUUAAGUCAAAUGUGAAAUCCCCGAGCUUAACUUGGGAAUUGCAUUCGAUACUGGUUGGCUAGAGUAUGGGAGAGGAUGGUAGAAUUCCAGGUGUAGCGGUGAAAUGCGUAGAGAUCUGGAGGAAUACCGAUGGCGAAGGCAGCCAUCUGGCCUAAUACUGACACUGAGGUGCGAAAGCAUGGGGAGCAAACAGGAUUAGAUACCCUGGUAGUCCAUGCCGUAAACGAUGUCUACUAGCCGUUGGGGCCUUUGA
rnacentral:rRNA from 1 species